rnacentral:rRNA from 1 species
UACGUAGGGUGCAAGCGUUGUCCGGAUUUAUUGGGCGUAAAGAGCUCGUAGGCGGCUUGUUGCGUCGACUGUGAAAACCCGCGGCUUAACCGCGGGCUUGCAGUUGAUACGGGCAGGCUAGAGUUCGGUAGGGGAGACUGGAAUUCCUGGUGUAGCGGUGAAAUGCGCAGAUAUCAGGAAGAACACCCGUGGCUAAGGCGGUUCUCUAGUACGGUACUGACGCUGAGACGCGAAAGCGUGGGGAGCGAACAGG